AUUGAACGCUGGCGGCAGGCCUAACACAUGCAAGUCGAGCGGAUGAAGGGAGCUUGCUCCUGGCUUCAGCGGCGGACGGGUGAGUAAUGCCUAGGAAUCUGCCUGGUAGUGGGGGAUAACGUCCGGAAACGGGCGCUAAUACCGCAUACGUCCUGAGGGAGAAAGUGGGGGAUCUUCGGACCUCACGCUAUCAGAUGAGCCUAGGUCGGAUUAGCUAGUUGGUGGGGUAAAGGCCUACCAAGGCGACGAUCCGUAACUGAUCUGAGAGGAUGAUCAGUCACACUGGAACUGAGACACGGUCCAGACUCCUACGGGAGGCAGCAGUGGGGAAUAUUGGACAAUGGGCGAAAGCCUGAUGCAGCCAUGCCGCGUGUGUGAUGAAGGUCUUCGGAUUGUAAAGCACUGUAAGUUGGGGGGAAGGGCAGUAAGUUAAUACCUUGCUGUUUUGACGUUACCAACAGAAUAAGCACCGGCUAACUUCGUG
rnacentral:rRNA from 1 species